UAAGGGCUCACCAAGGCGACGAUCCCUAGCUGGUCUGAGAGGAUGAUCAGCCACACUGGAACUGAGACACGGUCCAGACUCCUACGGGAGGCAGCAGUGGGGAAUAUUGCACAAUGGGCGCAAGCCUGAUGCAGCCAUGCCGCGUGUAUGAAGAAGGCCUUCGGGUUGUAAAGUACUUUCAGCAGUGAGGAAGGCGGAGUCGUUAAUAGCGGCCUCGUUUGACGUUAGCUGCAGAAGAAGCACCGGCUAACUCCGUGCCAGCAGCCGCGGUAAUACGGAGGGUGCGAGCGUUAAUCGGAAUUACUGGGCGUAAAGCGCAUGCAGGUGGUUUGUUAAGUCAGAUGUGAAAGCCCGGGGCUCAACCUCGGAAUUGCAUUUGAAACUGGCAGACUAGAGUACUGUAGAGGGGGGUAGAAUUUCAGGUGU
rnacentral:rRNA from 1 species